AGAGGCUGCCUGCAGAGCUAUAGUAGCUUUGUCCCAUCCAUGAGCUACUCAAUGUUCCUUGAAUUACAGGUCCUAGCCAAUCCCACCAAGAAGAAAUUCUUCCAUACAGCAGUGGUGAUGCAGUGUAACUCAACUUCUUUGUUGUGGCGUCUUUCAACUGUAUCUAUCCCAAAGAGGAAGGAUGGCUAAGCUGACCUUUCCAUUCACCCUGGCACAAAGCUUCAUGGUUUAUCCUGCCAGGGCAAAAAGGCUUGAAGAAAGGAAGCUUCUGUGAAAGCAAUUGUCUCCAGCCCAGAUCUAUGUUCAAGAGCACCCUUGAGAUGAGACAAGCACAGGCUAUCAAUGAUCGCGGACGGCUUAUUAACAAAGCACCAGAGGAUAUGCCAGCAAUGCACCAAUCGUGGUGGAGAACAUGCCCACCUUCUAGGUAAGACAUUUGUCCAAGAGUCCUGUUGCCUUUUGCUACAGAAACUUCACCUACAGAUUGUCAGCAGCAGCAACAGCACAGAGUGAAAGAGAGAAU